UCAGGAUGAACGCUAGCGGCGCGCUUAAUGAUGCAAGUCGAGCGAUGAGGCCUCUUCGGGGGGUAAUCAGCGGCAGACGGGUGAGUAACACGUAGGUGAUCUACCCCAGAGACGGGGAUAACGGGUGGAAACAUCCGCUAAUACCGGAUAGACUUGUUCGGUCAAAGGGACAAGGAAAGGCUCCGGCGCUCUGGGAGGAGCCUGCGGCCCAUCAGCUAGUUGGCGGGGUAACGGCCCACCAAGGCAAAGACGGGUAGGGGGUGUGAGAGCAUGGCCCCCCACAAUGGGACUGGAACACGGCCCAUACUCCUACGGGAGGCAGCAGCAGGGAAUAUUGCACAAUGGACGGAAGUCUGAUGCAGCGACGCCGCGUGGAUGAAGAAGGCCCUCGGGUUGUAAAAUCCUUUACAGGGGGAAGAGGAAGGACGGUACCCCUGGAACAAGUGUCGGCUAACUACGUGCCAGCAGCCGCGGUAAGACGUAGGACACAAGCGUUAUCCGGAUUUACUGGGCGUAAAGCGUCUGCAGGCGGACAGGUAAGUUGGGCGUGAAAGCUCCGGGCCCAACCCGGAGAGGUCGUUCAAUACUGCGUGUCUAGAGGGUGUCAGAGGGGAGUGGAAUUUCCGGAGUAGCGGUAAAAUGCGCAGAGAUCGGAAAGAACACCAAUGGCGAAGGCAGCUCCCUGGGGCAACCCUGACGCUAAGAGACGAAAGCUAGGGGAGCGAACAGGAUUAGAGACCCUGGUGGUCCUAGCCCUAAACGAUGGAUGCUGGAUGUGGGGCCAUAGCGCUCCGUGUCGAAGCGAACGCGUUAAGCAUCCCGCCUGGGGACUACGG
rnacentral:rRNA from 1 species